rnacentral:rRNA from 1 species
UACCAGCACCCCGAGUGGUCGGGACGAUUAUUGGGCCUAAAGCAUCCGUAGCCGGUACUGCAAGUCUUCCGUUAAAUCCACCUGCUCAACAGUUGGGCUGCGGAGGAUACUACAGCGCUAGGAGGCGGGAGAGGCAAGCGGUACUCAGUGGGUAGGGGUAAAAUCCAUUGAUCCAUUGAAGACCACCAGUGGCGAAGGCGGCUUGCCAGAACGUGCUCGACGGUGAGGGAUGAAAGCUGGGGGAGCAAACCGGG